UUAGUGAAGGAAAAACUGAAUGUAGUCAUGUUAAAUCAAAGAGAUUGAAAAGAAUGUUUUGCCGGGAGAUUAAUGAAAAAGAUAAUCAAUGUCAGAGUGAGACCGAAUUCAGAGGUAAUGCUGAAAAUAGCGUUCAAGGUAUACAUGAAGAUCUAUUUAUGAUUGAAAAUGGUAAAUUUUUUAUAUGAUCAUCAUGGAAAAUAGUUAAUUGAAAUACUUAACAAUGCUUCUCAUGGUGACGUCUUUUUAUAUCAUUUCUUCUUUUGGUGGUUAAAAAAUGAUUUAAUGUUGUCAAUGAUUUUACAUUUUGGGACUAUGCUGAAUGGUUAAACAUGUCAAGUAAAGAUUAUGUUUGUUGUAUGUUUUUGGCAUAAAACUUUGGCAAGCAUUUAGUAGUUCCAACAUCAAAUAGUGGAGUUUAUAAAAAUCAACAUUUGAAUUCGUAGGGAUGAAUGUCUAAAUCAACUUUCAAAAUAAAAUUCUUCUGUCAAAAAUUCUUCUUCAUCGAGUUGACUCUGUUUGAAAACGUCAUCAAAACAUAAUUAGUCACACAUUGAUUCAGAACACACUGGAUUUUAAUAGCAUGUUUGGUUGGUUAAAAAAGUUUUACGAAUGGUAGAUGAUUCAGAUGUAAUGGUUUUUUAUUAAUGGUUCACUCUCAAAACCAGAAUUUGAAAUAGCGUUCA